GCCUGAGCAAAUUCAGACAGUUGAGACUCUGUGUUAGCAAAUACCGAUACACAAAGGACAUUUUUGAGAUAAAUAAAGACUUCCAGAGAAAAUGGCCAGACUUUACCGUCGCGCAACAAAAUUGAUGGAUAUAGUCUCAUCAAGGACAGGAACUACAGGAGUGACAAUCAGACAUAUAAAAGACAUGCGUCUUAAUUAUUUAAUUAAAAUUAUUAGGCUUAUCUUUGUUGACAGUUACCAAUUCAGAUUAUAUUUGGUUAGUUACUUUCUUUUUCCUUUUUCUUAAAUAGCCCACUGCCUUGGAGAGAUGGAAGAGGACCAUUCUCAAGGAAUUUAGAGACACAGAAGUGUUUGAGGCAGGCCUUGAUAGACAACUUAUGAAAACUGCCACCAUCGGUGACCAGUCCACCCCAGAAUCUGACCAUAUGAUAGCAACCAUCAUGGUUGAGGGAACCAAAAUCCUGGAGGGCAAGGAUAUCCCAAGGUGCUGUGCUUUGCUGACGGGAACCCGAGCGGAAAUGUACAUUGAUAGUGACAGUCUGCUACUGUUUGUUGCAGUUUUUUGUAAAAUUGAUCGUAAAGGUAUAAUGUGUAAAAAAGACUGCAGGACCUUGAGAAGAUUGCUAGCCAUGUAUGGGACAAUUUAAAUG